AGAAUCAACGCUGGCGGCGUGCCUAACACAUGCAAGUCGAACGAGAAAGUGGAGCAAUCCAUUAGUAAAGUGGCGCACGGGUGAGUAACACGUGACUAACCUACCCUUGAGUGGGGGAUAACCUAGAGAAAUCUGGGCUAAUACCGCAUAAUACCUUCGGGUCAAAGGAGCAAUUCGCUUAAGGAGGGGGUCGCGGCCGAUUAGUUAGUUGGCGGGGUAAUGGCCCACCAAGACGAUGAUCUGUA
rnacentral:rRNA from 1 species